CAGCACAGAGAGCUUGCUCUCUGGUGGCGAGUGGCGAACGGGUGAGUAAUAUAUCGGAACGUGUCCAAUAAUGGGGGAUAACGAGUCGAAAGAUUCGCUAAUACCGCAUACGCCCUACGGGGGAAAGCAGGGGAUCGUAAGACCUUGCGUUAAUGGAGCGGCCGAUAUCUGAUUAGCUUGUUGGUGAGGUAAAGGCUCACCAAGGCGACGAUCACUAGCUGGUUUGAGAGAACGACCAGCCACACUGGAACUGAGACACGGUCCAGACUCCUACGGGAGGCAGCAGUGGGGAAUUUUGGACAAUGGGGGCAACCCUGAUCCAGCCAUUCCGCGUGAGUGAAGAAGGCCUUCGGGUUGUAAAGCUCUUUCGCAAGGGAAGAAAACUUAUGAUCGAAUAAAUCAUGAGGUUGACGGUACCUUGAUAAGAAGCACCGGCUAACUACGUGCCAGCAGCCGCGGUAAUACGUAGGGUGCGAGCGUUAAUCGGAAUUACUGGGCGUAAAGCGUGCGCAGGCGGUUUUGUAAGUCGGAUGUGAAAUCCCCGGGCUCAACCUGGGAACUGCGUUCGAAAUUGCAAGGCUAGAGUGUGUCAGAGGGGGGUAGAAUUCCACGUGUAGCAGUGAAAUGCGUAGAGAUGUGGAGGAAUACCAAUGGCGAAGGCAGCCCCCUGGGAUAACACUGACGCUCAUGCACGAAAGCGUGGGGAGCAAACAUGAUUAGAUACCCUGGUAGUCCACGCCCUAAACGAUGUCAACUAGUUGUUGGUAGAGUAAAAUCUAUGAGUAACGUAGCUAACGCGUGAAG
rnacentral:rRNA from 1 species